CCUACGGGAGGCAGCAGUGAGGAAUAUUGGUCAAUGGGCGAGAGCCUGAACCAGCCAAGUCGCGUGAAGGAUGAAGGAUCUAUGGUUUGUAAACUUCUUUUAUAUGGGAAUAAAGUGAGGAACGUGUUCCUUUUUGUAUGUACCAUAUGAAUAAGCAUCGGCUAACUCCGUGCCAGCAGCCGCGGUAAUCCGGAGGAUGCGAGCGUUAUCCGGAUUUAUUGGGUGUAAAGGGUGCGUAGGUGGUUAAUUAAGUCAGCGGUGAAAGUUUGUGGCUCAACCAUAAAAUUGCCGUUGAAACUGGUUGACUUGAGUAGAGUUGAGGUAGGCGGAAGUCGUGGUGUAGCGGUGAAAUGCAUAGAUAUCACGCAGAACUCCGAUGGCGAAGGCAGCUUACUAAACUAUAACUGACACUGAAGCACGAAGGCGUGGGGAGCAAACAGGAUUAGAUACCCUUGUAGUC
rnacentral:rRNA from 1 species